CCUCCCACCCGCGCCUUGGUCCCGUCCUGGGGCCACCGCUGCAUUUCCGUCCUGAGCUGAGGGAGCCAGUCCUGGUCCACAGCCCAGGAGGGGGAACAUCCUGGAGGCCUGUGGCUGCGGCAUCUGGGGCGCGGGAGCGCCAGCGACAGAGCUGGUGACCCGGCGAACUGGUUACCGGCCAGAUCUGAUCCAUUUCAAGCGGAUGCGGAAUCGGUUUCCGGUUUAAUGUGAAAGAGCCGUGUGGGCGGAUUGUUGAGAUCUGUGGUGCUGGUUGCUGCAAAUGCAAAAUCCUGGUUUGUGAGCCCCGACCUCUGAAGAAGAAAGGAGCUAUCUGAACCCAAAUGCUUCAUUCAGUGCUUUCCAGCUUUCCACCAGUUCAAAGGGCUCAGAGGGGACCGUCUGGCCCCUUCUCGGAGGACACAAAUGGAAGCCCGCUCGCCCAUAGGCACACUCACUUGCAGUUGGUGAGACGGAUCCGCUCAGGUGGAGAGCCACUCAGAGGUGCGUUCAGGACCAGCCCAAGCGUCAACGCAUUCCGCAAGAGGGCGGUCCGGACUGCGGGUGCCACGUCAUCUCUGGCGUGGGUCACAGACCCAAAACAAGCCCACGUUGCCGUGGCCCCGUGCUCCUGAGGUACUUCUGGGGGACACUGGCUUGGAGAACGUUGUUUUGAUGACUUCGAUGAAGGUGGUGGAACUAAUUCCCACUCGAAUGGGUGGUUGUUUAUUUCUGCUUCGCGUGAAUCAGAGGUAAUUGUUUUGAAUAGCCUUUCACGGUGGCUCUGUGUACUGGGGCCAUCUGGUGCCGAUGUCCCCGCUUCUCCACUUGUGGCUUUUAAGACACGCUUCCCUCUCCCACCGUGAGGCUGCUCCUCUGAUUCAACCAUCGGUGAUUAACGGAGCUCACGUCCAAAGACCCCAUUCAGAGGCGAGCUGACACGGACAGCUUUGGUCUCCAAAUUAGGAAAUAGUAAUUCCCACCGUCAGCCAAGUGUUUGGUGAAGGAAAGCGACAACAGCAAGGGCAACACUUUCUUGACAAACGCACAAGUGACCAUGUGACACAGGAGCUGAAACAGUCAGGAGUAGGUCGAGGUGGCUGGGGGCUGGCACAGGUCGUGUUUGAAGGUCAAUCUUCAAGGGGUGGUAACGUGUAUAAAAUUCUUCCUAG